UGUGUGUGUGGGAUUUGAUGGAGAGGUGAUGUUGAACUUAAACGCUUUCUUAAUUGGUGGCUGCUUUUGGGCCAACUAUGGUGGUAAUAAUUUUUACUCUCUGUAGGAAGGUUGUUUCGUAAGGUCU